rnacentral:rRNA from 1 species
CGAGCGCAACCCUUGUCCUUAGUUACCAGCACGUUAUGGUGGGCGACUCUAAGGAGGACUGCCGGUGACAAACCGGAGGAAGGUGGGGAGUGACGUCAAGUCAUCAUGGCCCUUACGGCCUGGGCUACACACGUGCUACAAUGGUCGGUACAAAGGGUUGCCAAGCCGCGAGGUGGAGCUAAUCCCAUAAAAACCGAUCGUAGUCCGGAUCGCAGUCUGCAACUCGACUGCGUGAAGUCGGAAUCGCUAGUAAUCGUGAAUCAGAAUGUCACGGUGAAUACGUUCCCGGGCCUU